UUAACUUUUAUUAAAAUGAGAAUAACGACUCGAGCGAUGCUCUUUAAUUCGUUGGAUGGAUAACGCCGGGAGCUACACCUGAAAAGUUUCCUGCUCUUUCUCGUUAGUACCGUUAUGUUCACUUGAGAAGGAUCAUCCUCCAAUCCGAGCAAUCGCUUGAGCGAAUCUCUCGUGCUUCACACCGUAAUUUAUGGGACCCAAGUCCUAACACCAUCCACCUCCUUCACCGAUCACGCUUCCUCCCCACCAGCGCACAAAAAAUGCGAUCUUUCUCCUUAGACACCACGGGCCUGCGUUUCGCAUCCCAAGUUUCCACAACCCCCGCCACUCGUUCGACGAAAUUCCGAAGUGAGCUUCGCAACACUCACUACCCACCAUUUAUACUUGGUCGGUCAUCUAGACGGAGCUCGUCAUCGGGUAGCGUGGGCCUGCAGAGGAAAACCCAGAAGGAUCUUUCUCGGAUACUGAGGACAGAGUCGGCUAUCAAGGAGAUUGAGAGGAAGGCCAACUCCAAGAAGUACAACAAUUUGUGGCCUAAAGCCGUAUUGGAGGCCCUGGAUGAGGCUAUUAGUGAAAACCGUUACGAGUCUGCUCUUAAGAUAUUCAGCCUUCUUCGUAAGCAGCACUGGUAUGAGCCAAGAUGCCAAACGUAUGCAAAGCUUCUGAUGAUGCUUGGCAAGUGCAGGCAGCCUGAGCAGGCAGGUUUGCUUUUUGAGCUUAUGCUGGCGGAAGGGCUUAAACCUACUGUCGAUGUUUAUACGGCUCUCGUCAGUGCUUAUGGUCAUAGUGGCCGAAUCGACGAGGCAUUAUCUACUCUGGAAGCAAUGAAGUCCGUCUCAGAUUGCAAGCCCAAUGUGUACACAUACACUAUUCUCGUGAAUUGUUGCAUGAAGUUCCAUCAGUUUGAUCUGAUUGAACAAAUACUUUCUGAGAUGUCAUAUCUCGGAAUAAGUUGCAGCACCGUCACAUACAAUACUAUGGUCGAUGGAUAUGGCAAGGCUGAAAUGUUUGAACAGAUGGAGAAGUCAUUGACAGACAUGAUUGACGGUGGUUCCUGUCUUCCUGAUGUUUUCACUCUUAAUUCGGUUGUGGGGGCUUAUGGGAAGAGUGGACAGAUUGAUAAGAUGGAGAAGUGGUAUGAGGAAUUUCAACUCAUGGGUGUGAGGCCUGAUAUUAUUACAUUCAAUACCCUGAUUGGAUCAUAUGGGAAGGCAGGGCUUUAUGAGAAGAUGAGUUCUGUUCUUGAUUAUAUGGAGAAAAGGUUCUUUUCGCCUACAACUGCAACCUACAAUGUAAUCAUUGACAUCUAUGGAAAAGCUGGCGAUGUGGAAAAGAUGGAAGAAUACUUCAAGAAAAUGAAGCAUCAGGGAAUGAAGCCUACCUCUGUCACGUACUGCUCUCUGGUUAGUGCAUACAGUAAAUCUGGACUGAUCAUGAAGGUGGAUUUGAUCUUGAGGCAAGUCGAUAAUUCGGAUGUGGUGCUGGAUACUCCUUUCUUCAACUGCAUCAUUAAUGCAUAUGGUCAAGCUGGGGACAUUGAAAAGAUGAGGGAAUUGUUCUUGUCAAUGAAAGAGACAAAAUGCUCACCUGAUACUAUCACUUAUGCCACCAUGAUCCAAACAUACAUUGCCCUAGGCAUGACUGAGGCUGCUGAAGAUUUGGAGAACAACAUAAUAAGAUCCAAGGACCAUCCAGCAAGCUCAUUUUUCGGUCUCUGCUAAGUGCUUUAGAUUAUGACCGGCAUGAAGUUGAUUGGAUGCUAGCAUUGGUGAUUGAUGUGGAAGGGAUCUCAAAUUGAUGGAUGACUAGAAUGUUCAAGAUUGUUGAAGCAUAAAUCGCUGAUUGCUUACUUCUGAGACCUUACCUUAUAUGAUUGUUUUCAGAUUACCUUUGGUGUCUGGAUAUCAAAGCUCACCUCAUCCCCAUCUGGGGCAUCAACCUGGGAAUGUCAGUUGGCUGAUCAAGAUUGCAAGAAAGUUUCAUCUGGAGGAAGGUGCAAAACUGUUACUAAGACAGCUUCGCUAGAUUUUUUGAGGCCUCGACAUGCAACUGGAUUUGUUGGGUACAAUUUGGUAAAGGUACUUCUUAUGGAUAUUCUAUCUUCUUCUUUUUUCCUAUCAUGGCGACCUCAGCAUUGGUUUUCCAUCUUUCAAAAUAACAACACCAAAGAGCUCUCAUGUGUAUGAAGUUUACGAAAAUUCUGGUUCCCCAAAGAAGUGUGACAGAAUAAAUAGUGACUAACAAGAAUGCCAACCUUCCACAAGGGCCAAAGGAUUGUUAUUGAAGACCAUUCUUCUGGUGUUCGGCCAUGAAUGAAGCAGUGUAUUUCCUCCAGAUAUUGAGCUAAGCAUACAAGAUCUUUGCUUUGUCAAUGAAAGUUGCCAUGACCAAAGUUUGGGAAAUAGAGCUGGAAUUCUUGGGUGCCAAAUCAAAUCCCUGGACAGCAUGCACAUAUUUAUCAGGUUCUCCUGACUCAGCUACUGUUGAAUUCCUUCAUUAUAUGGCCAUAUUCUGCUAUUUUGCUUAUUUGCGUUGCUUGUCAUACAUUCAUAUGUGAUAUAACAAUUCACGUUCAUAUCGAUAUCGAUUGUACUUCUGUCAAUCAACAUCUCACCUUUCACUAUGUAUUUGCAUGGCGUCGGUUGACAUUGUGGGAUGAUACCGGCACUGUGGAACUCGUGGACGAAGCAGCUGUUUGUUUCCCAGAGGAGACUUAAGAUGCUCUAUGCAAUUAAUUUCCAGGCUUUUUUUAUAAUUUGGGCGGGGCCUGAAGAAUGAGUUUAGGCCUGGCCUCCUUUACAUGUCGAGGGUCGCUCACCUGCUUUUCAGAUGGAAGUAUGCUGAAGAACGGAGA